GCAUUAAAAUGCGUGGAGCGAUUUAGACAAAUAAUAAAGAAUUGUUUUGAAGUUAACUAUAUAAUUUGUAGUAAAACUUGUAGUAUUGAAAUUGACUUAUCAAAUAUUUAUAUUUUAAUAUUCAAAUAUUCGAAUCUUUUAAAAUGAAGGAGAAGAUAUUCGAUAUAUAUGGAAGAUAUUAGUGUAUUCGUUAAAUCAUAAUGAUAAUAUCCGAAAUUUAACAAGAUUCUUAAUAUCAAUUCCAAGGAGAUUACAGUGCUUAAAAAAUGAACACAUUAUCCAGCAAAAGUUUGCAGAGAGAAUAUUGUUUUCUGUGCGAUCUUCUUAAGACUCCAUGGACUAUUUUACAUGAUUUUAGCGAAGCGGUGUGUCGGGCUUGCGUCAAUUACGAAGGUGUAGAUAGGAUAGAAAUGGUAAUAGAAACUGCCAGAGAAAUGCGUAAAAUAUAUGAUUCAUCCCAUCACUCUAAUUCAAUAACCCCCAAAUCUUGCGAUAUUUCUAAAAACUUUAUUGACAAGAUUGAUAACUUAGGAAACGAGGAGAUUAAAGGCAUUGGCUAUGGGGAUAACGGGGUUAGCAUAAUAAAUAACAAGAUAAUCGCGAAAAAUCAUUACAUAGCUAGCGCCUUACACCAUAGACAAAAUAUUUCUCUAAACCCGCACGAUCCAAUUCUUUAUCACAACCUUAACAACGACCUCAAAAGACACAAUUCACCAUACAAUGGAAAGUUAAACACACUUCAUAAAGAUGCCACUAGUCACAAUGAAAACCUGAGAAGUGCAACAAACAAGAUAGAUAAUGAAAGGGUUUCUAAAUUAGAAGACAUUGAUAUUCGGGGGAAGAAUAUUCUUUUAAACCAACAGUUGGGUACCAAUGACAAAGAAAAAUUAUCCCAUUAUGCCCCAAUCACGAAUAAUGAAAAUAUAAAUGAUAAUAUGCCCAAUAUUUCAGAUAAGGAUUCCGAAUACAUUGAAAGAAGAGAAAGAUUGAGUUCAGAUUUUUUAAUUCGAUCAAAGAGCUCUUCUAUUUCUAAUAGAAAUUUCUUGAGAACGAGUAAUAUGCCCUCAACAUAUAAGUACAGAAAAUAUUCAGGUGAAGAGUUGCAGUACCUUAAACAAAUAGGGUAUGGAAAUAAUGUACAGCCUAACGUAAAUUAUCAGGAUAAAGGUGAUUGCCAAAUAGGGAAACAGCGGGUUGUAUCGGAAUAUUCUCAAAAAGAGUUUUCUCCAGAUUCAACUAUCUCACCUUGCUCACCCCCGUUUAUUCUUAAAAUCGACGAACAUCAAAAAAUUAAUUUCAGAGAUUCUCCGAUUCAUGUUUUACAUCAUAGUAAUAAAAUUCCAAAUUCUAAUAUCAGUGAACUAACGGAAAACGUUUAUAAAUAUAAAAGUAAAAAUAUCGAUUUUGGGGGUAGGGAAGGGGAUUUUAAUGGUCAAAAAGAUCAUUUGAGUUCAGCUCAAAAAGAUCAAUUCAAAGCGCUACCUAAAGAACUUGAUUUAAACAAUCAAAAAUCUAUUUCCUCAGAAAAAUGUAACAAGUCUCUGAAUAAAGUACAAGAGAGAUAUGAUAAAAGUCGUUACAAUGUAUUCAACAAUCAUGAUCCAAAAUUAUUCAUACCACAACAGAAUUGCAGCAACAAAAGUCUUAUGUCUUCUGGCUCCUUUAACCUAGCUAAUUCAGGUGCAAUUCAUCAAUAUCAUCAAAAGAACUCUACUUUCGGUUUUGAUUGCAAUUCAGGCCGUAAUUCCUAUUUUGUAUAUCCUAGUUGCCAGCCAAAUAGACCCCCGUUUGGAAUAAGAUAUCCUCAUAUCAAUAUUGGUGGGAUACCAUUGCCAUAUCACAGGGCGAGCCAAAACAAUUCGCAGACCCAUAAAAGGAGCUUUAAAGAAAUGGAUGAUGACAUAUAUCUAGUGAGCUUACCAACUUCUUUGUCUAGCUUGCCCAAAAGUCAAAUUGACUUGGAUAAAAGAAAGUUUUCACUAGGGGAUUAUCCACCUUCAAGACAUGACAAAAGCAACUUUGACAGCGAUCAAACUAGCCUAGAUUCAGCAAAAUGUUUAUCCGUCUCUAAUAUACCUUCUGCAGAAAUGGAACUACCAAUGAAUCCAUUGAUUAAUACAAUAAAUGAGAGACAUGGAAUUAUGACUGAAAAAAAUAACAAUAAAGACCAUGAUACUAAUGAUACUAAUUAUUUAAUAAGAACUAAAAAUUUUGAAACUUCUGAUGUCAAAAGAGGACGAUCAUCCAACGAAUUUGACAAAGAUGGGGAAAAUUUUGCAGUCAGCGCUGAUAUUCAGGGUUCUUCUAAAUCAUCAUUAAAACUGGAAAAAUUAAAUCGAGAUAAAUUAAACAACAAAAUUAAUAUCAAGCAUUUUAUGAAUGAUUCUUCGAAUAAGGAAAAAGACGAUGAACUUGAUGUAUUACGAUCUGCGCAUACAAAUACAAAUAAUAAUUUAAUUAUAGAUGAAAUGUUUAGAGAUAAAAAUCAAAGAUACCCUCCUGCUCAAUCCAAUAAUGUUAAAAAACAUUCCGAAAGAAUGGCAUCUUUACCUGAGUCAGAAAAAAAUGGGGAUAUUUUUGUAACAUCUCCUUUGAAUUGCAUACUCUGUCAAAGCAGACUGGAGGACACGCAUUUCGUUCAAUGUCCCUCGAUCAAUCAUCAUAAAUUUUGUUUUGCUUGCACGAGAAAAAGCAUUAAAGAUCAACAAGCCAAAAUAGUGGCGAAUUUCAACAAAGAUCAGAAAAAUUUUAAUAAAUUAUCUACCAAUUUUAGCAAUGAGAUAUAUUGUCCUAGUGGACUAAAAUGCCCUCUUUUGGGCUCAAAUAUACCAUGGGCAUUCAUGCAAGGAGAAAUUGCCACCAUAUUCAGCGCUGAUUGUCACGUCGAGGUAGAAGCGUCCACUUUUAAUCAUCGAUCUUAUAAUAAUGGCAAUUAUACUAAAGAAAUCCGCCCUAGAGGCAAAUACAAUACAAAAAAGGAAGGGAAAAAAAGUGGAAAGGAUCAACCCAAGGACAAUUGCGAAUUUAAUAAAAAGCAAUGUAGGGGCGAAGUUAGUCAUCCUACUACACCUCAACUCAAAGAAACGACGGAUUUUCGUCAAUACGAUACAGAGAAUAAAGAAAAUAAAAAUGCACGUGAUUAUGAUUAUCCAAAAGAGGUAAAUGAUAAUAUUGCAGAAGGUCGUAUGAAAGAAAUGCGUGAAGAAAAUGAUGAAAUCCUUGUUAAUAUACAUAUGAAUAAACAGCAGCAAAACCUCGACAAUAAAGUUGUCAAAGAUAGCUUUCGUAGGCGUUCCGAUUCUUUGGAUACUAAUAUAAAUAUUUACAACUAUGAUACGGAUAAUAGCAAUGAGAAAAAAGAAUUCAUCAAGAGAUCGGAGAAUAAAGAAAUAAACAAUAAAUCCUAUCAUUCUCCUUCACUCACAAUCAAAAUUAACGAUCAUAAAUAUGAACACAUACACACGCCUAUGACAUCUAAUGAAAACGUCAAACAAAGAUUGCGUAGCAAUAAUAAUAAAAAACUCAAUUCACCUAUCUCUGGCGAACAUUUAAAAUCAUCCAACCAAUCAAAUAAAACUCAUAGAGAACUUAAGGAGUCGUUUGGAGUCUAUGAAACUAAUGAAAAUUUAAAUAACUAUAAUAAAAAAAGCCCACAAAGCAAGAAAAAGAAUGAAGAUUUUAUCGACUUCUCGGAUAAUCGCGAGGAUUCGCCGCGUUUAAAGAUAUGCGAUGAGACGUGUACAAAUAAUGAACUGACUGCGAUUACUACUAUAACUCACAAAAGCGAAAUCCUUAAACAAACCAAAGAAGAGAAUGGUAAUUAUAAUACCAAACAAAUGAAUCAUCAAGGUCUUAACGAAAAAUAUUUUUAUUCCAGUACUUCUCAUACGGAACCAAAAGGUUAUGGAAGAACGUACCAGGCAACAAUUAGCAACAAAUGCAAAAUGGAUGCCAAUAAAUUAAUUCCAAAUACCAGUGAAACUAACUUUUACGAACAUCGCGAAAAGUCUACUAAGCACGAGAGUCCAAGACCGCGAGAUAAUGUUAACACAAUUGUAAACGAUAUUAUCUCUUACAAUCAAACUCCGCUAUCUAUAGAUGAUGAGAGCGGACAAAAAAAAUCUGAUAAUAUUGUAUUACAUAUAGAAGCCUCAAUCUGAAACGAAAUGUAUAGCGAAUAAGUAUUUAUAUUUUUGGACCUAAGAGUCUUUGAUCAACCAAAGGCUGUGUUUAGACGAAGCUAUAUAGUCGGCAAAACAGCUGGGUGUCUGGAAAUAAGUCAAACCAUGACAUAGCCUAAAUGCUGAAAGAUUGCAAACCGUUAGUCAUCUCUAAAAGGAGACAUGGACUUAGCUAUUUAUAUAAUCAAGGCCGACAGCAACAUCAAACCUCAAUAAAUCUUACAAGUCGGAGCCUAAACGCAGCUCGUAUCCCAAAC